rnacentral:lncRNA from 1 species
GUUGUUUUUGGCUAUGGUCGGAGGCAUUUCUCGACCAGAUUAUCUUUGGUUUUGUUAGAGGCUUUGUUGGACGUUACAAUGGACAUGGGAUUUGUUGUUGAAUUCUUAGACUUCUUUUGAGUCAUAUUUACUCAUACUGUUUUGCGAUGGGAAUUCCGUUGUUAUAUUAUAUUAUGCUCAGGUUGACUAGGCGAAGAAGGUGGUCUCCGGUCCUCGGUGGACUUGAAAUACCUAUCAAGAUGUUGUGGCU